UACGUAGGGAGCAAGCGUUGUCCGGAAUCAUUGGGCGUAAAGCGCGCGUAGGUGGCCUCAUAAGUCCGCUGUGAAAGUCAAAGGCUCAACCUUUGAAAGCCGGUGGAUACUGUGAGGCUAGAGUACGGAAGAGGCGAGUGGAAUUCCUGGUGUAGCGGUGGAAUGCGUAGAUAUCGGGAGGAACACCAGUGGCGAAGGCGACUUCCUGGCCUGUUCUUGACGCUGAGGCGCGAAAGCUAGGGUAGCAAACGGG
rnacentral:rRNA from 1 species